rnacentral:rRNA from 1 species
CGGGUGAGUAACGCGUGAGGAACCUGCCUCAAAGAGGGGGACAACAGUUGGAAACGACUGCUAAUACCGCAUAAGCCCACAGCUCGGCAUCGAGCAGAGGGAAAAGGAGUGAUCCGCUUUGAGAUGGCCUCGCGUCCGAUUAGCUAGUUGGUGAGGUAAUGGCCCACCAAGGCGACGGUCGGUAGCCGGACUGAGAGGUUGAACGGCCACAUUGGGACUGAGACACGGCCCAG